rnacentral:rRNA from 1 species
GAUGAACGCUGGCGGCGUGCCUAAUACAUGCAAGUCGAGCGAACGGACGAGAAGCUUGCUUUUCUGAUGUUAGCGGCGGACGGGUGAGUAACACGUGGAUAACCUACCUAUAAGACUGGGAUAACUUCGGGAAACCGUGGCUAAUACCGGAUAAUAUUUUGAACCGCAUGGUUCAAAAGUGAAAGACGGUCUUGCUGUCACUUAUAGAUGGAUCCGCGCUGCAUUAGCUAGUUGGUAAGGUAACGGCUUACCAAGGCAACGAUGCAUAGCCGACCUGAGAGGGUGAUCGGCCACACUGGAACUGAGACACGGUCCAGACUCCUACGGGAGGCAGCAGUAGGGAAUCUUCCGCAAUGGGCGAAAGCCUGACGGAGCAACGCCGCGUGAGUGAUGAAGGUCUUCGGAUCGUAAAACUCUGUUAUUAGGGAAGAACAUAUGUGUAAGUAACUGUGCACAUCUUGACGGUACCUAAUCAGAAAGCCACGGCUAACUACGUG